GGUACGGAGAGGUGCACGUGGAUAAUCGGAUUACUGGGCGUAAAGCGCGCGUAGGUGGUUCAGCAAGUUGGAUGUGAAAUCCCCGGGCUCAACCUGGGAACUGCAUCCAAAACUACUGAGCUAGAGUACGGUAGAGGGUGGUGGAAUUUCCUGUGUAGCGGUGAAAUGCGUAGAUAUAGGAAGGAACACCAGUGGCGAAGGCGACCACCUGGACUGAUACUGACACUGAGGUGCGAAAGCGUGGGGAGCAAACAGG
rnacentral:rRNA from 1 species